GAGGGCAGAUGAAGUGGAUGUGAGCGUCCAUCCCACCAGCAGUUAGGACCAGUCCUUCUCCAGCUAUAGCUUCAGUCCCGACACCGACAACCAUUCCCUGAAAGGCAACGAGACAAAAUUGUUACUAUUUUC
rnacentral:ncRNA from 1 species